GCGGGAAAACUCACCAGGUCAGGACACGGUAAGGAUUGACGGACUGAAGGCUCUUUCUCGAUUCCGUGGAAAGUGGUGCAUGGCCGUUUUUGGUUGGUGGAUCGAUCCGUCUGGUUAAUUCCGUUAACGAACGAGACCUCGGCACUCCGAAUAGCGCGGCGGACGUCGCGGCCUCCGGGCCGUCUUCCGCACGAGCUUCUUAGAGGGACCGUCCCCCGCCGGGGAAGGAGGUGCGAGGCAACGACAGGUCUGUGAUGCCCUUAGAUGUUCUGGGCCGCACGCGCAUUACACUGACGCGUCCAACGGGUGACUCCCGACCCGAAGGGGCCGGGGAAUCCGCAAGGCGCGUCGUGAUGGGGAUUGAACGUUGCAAUUGUUGUUCACGAACGAGGAAUUCCUAGUAGGCGCGGGUCAUCAACCCGCGCCGAUUACGUCCCUG
rnacentral:rRNA from 1 species